AGAAUUCACUCGCCUAAAGGUUAUGGCAAAACCUUAGAGUAUCAAGGAAACUCUUAAGAACCUCUCUAAGCUUUAAGGUUACUUCGCUUAGGAACCAGUCUUUUACGGGUAGACUCACACCUUAGAGUAUCAAUGACACUCUUAAGAACCUCUAACUUUUGCGGGUAAGUUAGUACCUUAGAGUAUCAAGGAACUCUUAAAAAUCUCUCUAAGCUUUAAGGCUACUUCGCUUAGGAACCAGUCUUUUACGGGUAGACUCACACCUUAGAGUAUCAAGGGCACUCUUAAGAACCUCUAACUUUUACGGGUAAGUUAGUACCUUAGAGUAUCAAGGAACUCUUAAAAACCUCUGAAAUCUUUCAAGGUAGACUCGACCUAAGAGUUUUCCCGGAAACUCUAUAAAACCAAACUAGAGCUUUAUGGUUGAGCUCAAAAACCUUCUCUCACACUUUGGUACUAUUGAGACAACCCUCUCAACCAAAGUGGACACACACAAGAGGUGAUUAGAGGAGUGGAAUAUUAAAGCAAACAACACUUCUUACUUGUAAAGAUGAACAAGAAGAUUAGAAGAAGAAGUUGGAGAGCUUUUGAAGCUUUGGAAGCUAGGACACUUGAGCACUUGAAAGCUUGGAAGCUUGGAGGCAAAAACGUGUGGGCAAGUGUGGAGUGAAAGCUCUUAAG
rnacentral:lncRNA from 1 species